AGUGAACGCUGGCGGUAGGCCUAACACAUGCAAGUCGAACGGCAGCACAGUAAGAGCUUGCUCUUACGGGUGGCGAGUGGCGGACGGGUGAGGAAUACAUCGGAAUCUACUUUUUCGUGGGGGAUAACGUAGGGAAACUUACGAUAAUACCGCAUACGACCUACGGGUGAAAGCAGGGGAUCUUCGGACUUUGCGCGAUUGAAUGAGCCGAGGUCGGAUUAGCUAGUUGGCGGGGUAAAGGCCCACCAAGGCAACGAUACGUAGCUGGUCUGAGAGGAUGAUCAGCCACACUGGAACUGAGACACGGUCCAGACUCCUACGGGAGGCAGCAGUGGGGAAUAUUGGGCAAUGGGCGCAAGCCUGAUCCAGCCAUACCGCGUGAGUGAAGAAGGCCUUCGGGUUGUAAAGCCCUUUUGUUGGGAAAGAAAAGCAGCGUGUUAAUACCCCGCUGUUCUGACGGUACCCAAAGAAUAAGCACCGGCUAACUUCGUG
rnacentral:rRNA from 1 species